rnacentral:rRNA from 1 species
AACGAACGCUGGCGGCAUGCCUUACACAUGCAAGUCGAACGGCAGCACGGGAGCAAUCCUGGUGGCGAGUGGCGAACGGGUGAGUAAUAUAUCGGAACGUGCCCGGUCGUGGGGGAUAACGUAGCGAAAGCUACGCUAAUACCGCAUACGAUCUACGGAUGAAAGCGGGGGAUCGCAAGACCUCGCGCGAUUGGAGCGGCCGAUAUCAGAUUAGGUAGUUGGUGAGGUAAAGGCUCACCAAGCCGACGAUCUGUAGCUGGUCUGAGAGGACGACCAGCCACACUGGGACUGAGACACGGCCCAGACUCCUACGGGAGGCAGCAGUGGGGAAUUUUGGACAAUGGGCGCAAGCCUGAUCCAGCAAUGCCGCGUGCAGGAUGAAGGCC